UACGGGGGGGGCAAGCGUUGUUCGGAAUUACUGGGCGUAAAGCGUGCGCAGGCGGUUUUGUAAGUCUGUCGUGAAAUCCCCGGGCUCAACCUGGGAAUUGCGAUGGAGACUGCAAGGCUAGAAUCUGGCAGAGGGGGGUAGAAUUCCACGUGUAGCAGUGAAAUGCGUAGAGAUGUGGAGGAACACCGAUGGCGAAGGCAGCCCCCUGGGCUAACACUGACGCUCAUGCACGAAAGCGUGGGGAGCAAACAGG
rnacentral:rRNA from 1 species